ACCGAAUAGAUACCCGGGUAGUCCACGCCCUAAACUAUGUCAACUAGUUGUUGGGAGAGUUAAAUCUCUUAGUAAACGCAGCUAAACGCGUGAAGUUGACCGCCUGGGGAGUACGGCCGCAAGGUUAAAACUCAAAGGAAUUGACGGGGACCCGCACAAGCGGUGGAUUAUGUGGAUUAAUUCGAUGCAACGCGAAAAACCUUACCUACCCUUGACAUGUACGGAACGGGGCAGAGACGUCCCGGUGCCCGAAAGGGAACCGUAACACAGGUGCUGCAUGGCUGUCGUCAGCUCGUGUCGUGAGAUGUUGGGUUAAGUCCCGCAACGAGCGCAACCCUUACCAUUAGUUGCUACAUUCAGUUGGGCACUCUAAUGGGACUGCCGGUGACAAACCGGAGGAAGGUGGGGAUGACGUCAAGUCCUCAUGGCCCUUAUGGGUAGGGCUUCACACGUAAUACAAUGGCCGGUACAGAGGGUUGCCAACCCGGUGAGGGGGAGCCAAUCCCAGAAAGCCGGUCGUAGUCCGGAUUGUUCUCUGCAACUCGAGAGCAUGAAGUCGGAAUCGCUAGUAA
rnacentral:rRNA from 1 species